GGCACUGUAGUAUAGUGGUAGAGCAUCUGCUUUGCAUGCAGAAGAUUCCUAGUUCAGCAUCUCCAGGGAUACUAGGCUGAGAAUAUCCCA